rnacentral:siRNA from 1 species
CAUGCUUGUGAGUUAUUGGGC